UGCAAGUCGAACGGAAGUUAGAGCUUCGGUUUUAACUUUAGUGGCGAACGGGUGAGUAACGCGUGAGGAACCUGCCUUUCAGUGGGGGACAACAGUUGGAAACGACUGCUAAUACCGCAUGAUGCUUUUGGGAGACAUCUCUUGGAAGCCAAAGCUUUAUGUGCUGAAAGAUGGCCUCGCGUCUGAUUAGCUAGUUGGUGAGGUAACGGCUCACCAAGGCGACGAUCAGUAGCCGGUCUGAGAGGAUGAACGGCCACAUUGGGACUGAGAUACGGCCCAGACUCCUACGGGAGGCAGCAGUGGGGAAUAUUGGGCAAUGGGGGAAACCCUGACCCAGCAACGCCGCGUGAAGGAAGAAGGCCUUCGGGUUGUAAACUUCUUUUACCAGGGACGAAGGACGUGACGGUACCUGGAGAAAAAGCAACGGCUAACUACGUGCCAGCAGCCGCGGUAAUACGUAGGUUGCAAGCGUUGUCCGGAUUUACUGGGUGUAAAGGGCGUGUAGGCGGAGAUGCAAGUUGGGAGUGAAAUCCAUGGGCUCAACCCAUGAACUGCUCUCAAAACUGUAUCCCUUGAGUAUCGGAGAGGCAAGCGGAAUUCCUAGUGUAGCGGUGAAAUGCGUAGAUAUUAGGAGGAACACCAGUGGCGAAGGCGGCUUGCUGGACGACAACUGACGCUGAGGCGCGAAAGCGUGGGGAGCAAACAGGAUUAGAUACCCUGGUAGUCCACGCUGUAAACGAUGAAUACUAGGUGUGGGAGGACUGACCCCUUCCGUGCCGCAGUUAACACAAUAAGUAUUCCACCUGGGGAGUACGACC
rnacentral:rRNA from 1 species